rnacentral:lncRNA from 1 species
GUGAAGGGUAGAUGGGUGAGAGAAAGAGAGAGAUGGCAAUAUUGGUGAGGACCGUGGAUGGUCUGUUGGCAGAGGUCAGUGACAGUGUCACAUCACUGGCGAGAUGUAUGUGUCAGUGAUGACUCAACGGAUGGCGUGUAGCUGAUUUAAGGUCACUGUGGCUGGGUGUAGCCUGUGCAGGCUAAGCUCCCUUAGAAUUUAUGUUUUAGCUGCCGCAUGCCCACGUCUCCAACCAUCCCUCGCGCGGAGCCCCGGAUGUCAGCCAGUACGUGGAGCUCCAGUCUUCAAACGGGCCCACGUGUUGCUUCAAAGAUAUGUACAACUAAAUAUUUCAUGGUGUGAACACAAUUUUUAUAUUUCAAAACGAAGAACGGGAUGAGUGCUUUGUGGAUGAUUUGUUGUUCAUCAGACGCAAGCAUGCACGCACGCACUGGCAUACAUACAAGCGCACACGAAUGAUGUCCUGACACUUGAAAUAACACAAAAUAUCCGAGACACAUUUAGACAACUGGGUGCGACAAGUUUCAGCUGUUGACGAUAACAUCGACGACAAUAUUAUUGUCAGUGUCCUCCAGCGACCCUCGGCAGCGCUCUCCUACGAUGCACUCAGCGCAAGCUCGGACCACAUUAAACAACGGCUGCCACCUCAUCCACUACGUCCACCACAUCAACCACAUCCUCGUGUUCUUCUUCCUUCAUCUUCUUUCCCCUCUUCAUAUCUCUCUCUUUCUUUUUCUCCCGAUCUUGAAAGACCGCCAGUGGGAGGACGCUGGCAUCUGAGAUGGAGGCGACGGCGAAUUGAUUAGGAUCGUUUACAAAUUUCUACUUUGCAGGCGAGAUGAGCGAGGAGGAAGAAAAAGAUAUUUUAUUCUCGAAAAUGGCGCAGGGAGUCCCGGAAAUUGUUGGAAAAAAAAAAGAAGCGAGCCAGCAACUACCGACUGGCGGUUGGGUGGAUGGGUGGGUAAGAAUGGAGGACAGGAGGAAGGGGUGGGUGUAGGAAGAGUGGAGUUGUCGGAGGGUGGUGGUGGUGAUGGUGGGGAGGUUGCGCGGGAAGGCUGCAGAAGUCAGAGCUGGGUGCCGUCUGUCUAAAUUGUAUCGCAGCCAAUGGCAUGCCUUCGUCACCCGAACUAUGUGGGCCGUGUGGACUCAGUUUUGAUACCUCCCGGUCCUAAGAGCGAUCGUUUGUACCCUUUGGGGGCUCCAUUUGUCUGAAGCAGAAUUUCUUCAUCUCCCUCCUGUCCCAUCACCCUCCCUUCUCAAUCAUCGACUCACGAGCUGAGCAGCGCAUCGAGUAAUGUGACAGGCAGCAAGUUAAGAAGAAAAAUAAUUUUUUUAAAAGUAAGAAGAGGACGUGGACGGAGUGGCACAAACGCGGACGGGAGGGAGAGAGCGCGGAGCACGGUGAUGAGGUGACGAGGAGGCGGGGGCGGCCUGGGUUCAUAAUGUGCGUGCUGAAUUAUAGUUUCUCCCUGACAAAGGGUCACUCUCAUUUGGGGUUACCGCCUGACAAAUUACCGUUUGCCUCAUCACGUUUUCGCCGUCACUCAACCUCCCCCCUUUUCCUCCCUCCCUCAUUCCAAAUGUUCGCCUUCCUCUAACACGUCACUUCCCUCCUUUCUGCCUGUCGACCCCUCCCUCAUUUCACUUUUUUUUUUACCCCCUCCACCACCGCCACAUCUCCUGUCAACUCACCAAACUGAUCCCCCGACUUUUCUCUUCUGCCUUCCCUCAUGCAAGCACGCGCUUUCCAUGUUUGAGUUUGCUCCCAGGCUGAAACUCUUUGCUGUGGGUCCACAAGCCCUUCCCCACCCCUUCACUACUACCAACCCCCCCACCUCCCUUGUGCCUCUCCCCUCGGGGGUCCAGAAGCUCUGUGGCGAGCGGUGUCUGUGCUGAGGCUGUUUAUUGUAUAAUCAAUAGCUGGAGUGGUCGGGUAAAUAUACCCGCUUCUCCGACCUUUAUUUUCCUACGGCUUGCAGAGUACACAGAGAGAAAUUCAAAUAAAAGUCUCAUAUUUUACUGGCCGGUGCGGGCAGGGAGUUUGUUUAGGGUAUCAGCGCAGGGCCCGGGCUGGCAUCUCAGACACACAGUUGGCUCGAUCUGCGCCUGGUAAGCGCGCACACACACACGCACCUCCUCGGCCAGGACCUGCCUUUUGUUAGAUGUCCUCCGGCUGCCUCCACCGGUCUCGGACCGUAAGGUGUCCCUCCUCCUUCUCAUGCUUGUUCUUUGCACUUUGCUGCAAGCCUCAUGGCCGCAGCAGCACGCUGCUGGUGAAGAACCAGGCAACAACCACCCUGCACACGCUCUUCCUCUCUCGUCAACGAUGUCCGGUCGGACGAAGGCGGCGAGGAAAACUUUCGGAGGACUGCAACUACGACUUGCAUGCUGCUGCUGCUGCUGCUGCUGCAGCCGCCACGGGAGUACGUUUGACGUCCACGGGAGUACAUCUGACUGCUAGAAGCAAGGGUGACCAUCGGAGGAGCUAGUGACCGGCCUUGCCGAGGUCCCCCCCGUCCACCCCUGGCGCUGUCCCGCUGCACCAGUCACAGCUUCCCUCCCUUUCCCUAACCCCCAGCGCGUCUGCACCGAGGCGGUGUCCACGACAGGUAAGAGAUUAUGGGAUGCCAGUCCCCUGGGCCAUGUAUCACCAGCCGCGAUGGUGGUAUGCACCGGAGUUUCCUCCCCCUGCGGGCAGAAUACUCACCUGAGCCUCCUACCUCCAGCCCCUGCUCUUCUCGCUGUCAUCGUCAGCAGCAGCAGCGCCAUCGUCAGUCUGGUCACCACGGAGGACCGUUGCUUUGAUGAAACGCCUCAGUGUGGAACACGGAGUGUGAGAACCACAACCCACUCUUCGCACGAGGAAGACAAGUUUCGUUCUUGUUGUCAUGGGGUUAGAGAGGAGGUUGGAACUUUCUUCUUUUCCUCCCUUGAACUUUACGUUUUGAUUUAGCUUCAUCGUUGUGCAUCGUCAAUAAAGAUUUUUUUUUCCUUUAAUAUUGGAGGUGGAAGCUGUGAGUGAACUGCAGGUUAGAGGGCACGGCAAUGGCCGGAGUCGUCAGUACAUGACGUCGAUGUAUGACAUCAAUGUAUGAAUGACGUCAGGUCUGUCAAUAUAUGACGUCAGGUUUUUCGAUACAUGACGUCAGAUUUUUCACUAUAUGACGUCGGGGAGAAACAAAAUGAAGAGCACGGUACUACUGUCAGCAGAACGACUUGUGUUCGUCGACUCGAUAACCAAAGACCUGAAUAACCUGCGAACGCCACAGGUUUGGAAAUAUUAGUGGCAUUGUUACUAAAACUUGAUGACACGUUCAUACUUCAUUUGUGUGUAUUUUGUGUGCGGGAUCCUGUGAUCAUUAGGAUACGGAGAGGGUUUAGAUUUUUCACAUAGAAUCUUUUUUCUUUUUUUUUCAAGUAUCAUAUCUUCAACUCUGCUCAUCUCUUUGUGACAGAAACACAUUUUAUUCGACUAGAGCGUUUGGAGGACGAUAAAAAUAAGGUUCGCAUCAAAUUAGUUUGAAACGAUACUUUCAGAGACCACAGAAUCCUGUUGCUACCACAGUGAUUGAAAUUGCGUUACGUUCAUGAUUCGAAGACAAUCACGUGCUACCCACAGUGUGGCGGAAGUGACGUCUGUCUGCACCGUGACUCCAGAUCACAUGGAUCGUUCUGACGCUCACAGUGAGAUUUCAGCGAGACUUCGGUGAGACUUGAAUGAGACCUGACGCUCGCCUCCUAUCGUUACGUUCCAGUGAUAAUCGUAUUCACGUGCUGCACAACGGUGUUCCCUUCCCACCUGAAAGAAAAGCACGUGCAGAAACGCACGAACACACACCAAGGUUCGCCAAUGUCGGAUUCUGGUGGAAGAAAUAAAAGUGUUGUUACUUGCUCAAGAAGGCCAAUCCUGUUCGAGCGCCAUGUUUGCAUGCGGGCAAUUAGAUGGCGAGGAGAGGAGUAUUGGCAGUCAUUACUUACAUGUCGUAUGCAGGUGCGUGUCGAAGGAUCUUAGACGUCUACCGUCGGUGGACAACACUCAAAGACACGCAAGGCAGGUGCUCUGCAAGAGAGAGAGAGAGAAGGAGAGAGAAAACAAAUCAAUAUGCUUUUUACUGAGCUCUGCCUCACCCGUAUGUACACAGUUUGUUACACAUGGUGCUUGGAGUGUGGAUUAAAGGAGCCGAGAAAGACAGAGAAUAAUAGGACGAGCAGACAGCUGUGGGAAACGUGUAGCAGAGUUCCAAACAUUCAUAACUACACAUAUCCGCAAGAGUCACCGGAGACAAAUGUGUGCAAUAGAA